rnacentral:lncRNA from 1 species
GCGACCCGGGCGACCCGGUCGCCCGUGCCCGGCUGCCACUGACCGCUCCAACGCCGCCAGGGACGACCCGCCAGCUGCCUCCGGAGCCGAGCAGGCCCCGAACCUUCCCAUUCCUAGAUUUCCAGCCGCACAACAGCCGCGGUGCCCCUGGCUCGACGCAGCUGGCCGGAGGCGCGGAGCUGGUCGUUCGUCCCGCCCGCCGUUCCGCGCCCCUCUCCCGGCUCUUGUUUCCUCGCCUCUUAACGAGGCCUUUGUGAGGAAGGUUGCUGGGCCUUGGGACUCUGACGAUCGGCUGGAAACCAGGCCUGGCCCUGUUUCAGCAUCCCCGCGUGCCAAGCCCUGGGCCGGCGUGCGGGUCCCUGCCCCUGCGAGGAAGCUGGGACUUUUGCAGGCCUGGGUGGAGACGUGUACAUAACAGAGGAAGAGUGUGGAGGAUUGGAGGACUCAGGGCAGCACGGCAGAGUAGAGAUGGAGUUCCAUCAUGUUGGCCAGGCUGGUCUCGAGCUCCUGACCUCAGGUGAUCCACCCUCCUUGGCCUCCAAAAGUGCUGGGAUUACUGGUGUGAGCCACCUCGCCCGGCCACCUUACAGUGAGUUUCUAACCUCGAAAAUGGAGUCAAAUAACGGAAUGACAAGGCAGAUAGAAACCAGAGCAUUAACGUUUUUGUGUUGCAUUUACAAACAAUAUGUGUUUGCUAUUUUUCGUAAUUGUAAGGAAAUCUGGCAUGGUAGAGUAUCUGAUAGAUAAAUGUAAUUCUCAUGUAAAAUAUCUAAGUAUUUGUGUUUUUUGUUUGUUUGUUUGUUUGUUUUGAGACGGAGUCUCGCUCUGUCGCCCAGGCUGGAGUGCAGUGGCGCGAUCUCGGCUCACUGCAAGCUCCGCAUCCCGGGUUCACGCCAUUCUCCUGCCUCAGCCUCCCAAGUAGCUGGGACUACAGGCGCCCGCCACCACGCCUGGCUAAUUUUUUUUUUUUUGUAUUUUUUAGUAGAGACGGGGUUUCACCGUGUUAGCCAGGAUGGUCUUGAUCUCC